UCUUUGCUGUUUCAAUUGUUACAAUUGUUACUUUGUUUUUGUGCUCUGCUUUUUUGCCCUGCCUUCCUAUGGCCAGUUUAUUUUGUACUUUGUUCCCUUUGUUUUCUUCAUGGCACUGGUUCCUCCACCCAGUGCCAUUGUUUUUUGUUCAUGCCCUUAUUUGGAUAAGUAAAGACGUUUCUUUUUAACUGUUACAACGUCCUCCUGUCUUUGCUGAGCGUGACAGAAAGAACCAGCCAGAAAAAUGGAUCCCAGAGAACCAUUUUUUCCCCCAGAGUACUCUCCAUGAACAUGACACCCGUCUCUGCCAACAGGAGGAACAGGUCACUGAGCUGGGAGCGUGUUUCAAUAAAUUGGCGGCACGACAACAAGCAGCACGUACAGCGGCUAUCGAGGAGAGGCUUGCCACUUUCGUCUCCUCCCUUCAGAACAACUGAAGCCCAGAACGUUUUUCCGGAGACACAGGUGAUGUCUGUCCUUUCCUUAUUCAAUGCCAACUACAUUUUUAACUGCAGCCAACUGCCUUUCAUACCGUGCCCGCGUGGCUUUUGCCAUAUCACACCUCUCUGGUAAAGUCGCUAAAUUGGCCACAGCAGAGUGGAGCCAACAAUCUUCUUUUUGCAGUUCCUGGCCAAGGAGCACAUUUUUCAGUGGACUCCCCCGGGCCGUGAAGCAGCCCGGUCCUCAGUGUGUUGAAAGAUGCUAUAGACUUCCGUACUCUCGCCGUCAAGAGCGAUUGGAACCCUGCUGCUCUCUUGGAUGCUUUCUGCUUGGGCUUGGAUGACUGCAUUAAGCAUCACAUGAUUGCUGUUGACUUACCUCUGGACCUUGAUGACCUCCUCUCACUGUCGGUUUAAAUCGACAAGCGAAUCAAUGAGCAAGAGGAGGACCGAAACCUGCAGCGCAAUUUUGGUGGGGCUUGGCACAGAUAACCAGACUUGCACCAGCUAGACGAGUCUGUCUACCACUCACUUCCGGGCACUGUUGGACCUCCUUCCAUGCAACUUGGUGGCAACCGACUUCCGUCCACUGAGAGACAACGUUGUCAGCGUCUACACCUCUGCCUAUACUGUAGGUAUUCGGACCACUUGAUCUCCCGAUGUCCCAAUCGUCCAACCAACUGCCGAUCUCAAGCACGUUUCCCUUCUGGUGCGACGUCACCGACAGCGGGCCAACUUUCUCUGCCAUCAGCUCCGGCAUCUUCCAGACAGCGGCUACAACUUCCAGGUUCUGUAUGGCCCGGUCAUGCUUGUUGCUGAUGACCAGCCAUCUUGAAGAUUCAUGAAACCACCUGAAUGAACAUUUACAAACUUACUGAGUGAGAAUGUGUUGAGCCCCAGGCCCGACAGUGCCAUCCCGCAACCAAAGCGGCACAGACAGAAGAUGGGGAAGGAUGUGGAGAAAGCGGCGCACGUCCCAGACACCGCCAUCAGUAGGACAGAUAAGAAAGGCCAUAAAGCGUGGUGUGUGGAGUUUGAAAGCUGCUUUUUGCAUGCCCAUCAUCAAAUCUAAUGUAUGUGCGGGAGCCAAAGUACGGCCCCAGCCUCCGAGACAGCCCAACCCAAAACAGCAGGUGCGGCGCCCAGGGAACAAGGGACCACUGGCUCCACGCAACCAGGCUGGCCAGAGUCAGGAACCCCGGCAGGGCCAGCAGCAGGCCAUAGACAGACGCGCCUGACAGAGGACAAGGCACGGGAGACGCAGGGGACAGCCAGCCCCCAAGUCAACGAGAGACCACACCCCACGCGGGCAUAAAAGCAGGACGCCCCGCCCUGAGGGGCCCAGAGACUCCCCGCAACUGGACGAGAAGACCGCCCCUGACCCACCAGCAACGGGCAUAAGCCCGGAAAAAGUGAACCACUGUGAAUACUUUCCGGAUGUACCGUAUUUGUAGCGUAAGCGUCUAGGCGGAUGCCUCGAGGGCGCUCGCAUUCGAAGAUACUGUGUGCAUUAUAUCCCGCCCUCUUCUCGGUACAAUCAUGUAAGCUACGCCUUACUAACAACACUAGUUGUACUAGAAGGAUGACGUUCUAGUACAACUGCAGUGUUUGGAAAAGUGUGCAAAAAUACAAAAAACUGAGCAUCAGUUUUUAAAUUUAGUCUAUGUGCACGCGACAGCCAUGAUUGACAGCCUUUUUAUGAUAUAAAAUAUAUACAUUUCUUAGUUCAUCAUCUUAUCUUAUCGGACCAGACAAAGAUCCAAAUCUUAGCCAGUGGUGUGGCUUUUUUCAUGGCAUUGUUUGUGACAUUGACAUGGUUCACAGUAAAGGCCAUUAGUCCCUGAUGUGUUGAAGGUCUUGUUGGAGUUCACCACAGUCUCACCGGCUCUGUUGUUUGUUAAAUCGAUUCUUUUAAACCACUAUUGGUAACAUAUGCUCACUGUUGGUAAUGUUUGUAUAUUUUUUUGGUUUAAAUUUUUUUUUAUUUGUCAUAAGCUGGAUGCUGCACUGGUAACUAAGGCAGCAGAACACUGUGAAAGUGAAUCAUUCAUUGCAAAUCAUUUUUACAUCAUUAUUUUAAAUAUAUACAAUCAUACAGUAUAGAACAAACACAUACAAUAAUGUAAAUACUAGAUAGAAAAAAUAUAGUUAUUUAAACAACCAUGAAAAUCUAAUUUUACUAUUAAUUACAGUUCAAUAUUGGUUAUCUUGCUACAGUCCUGGAAGUACCAUCUCAUAAGAUACAAGAAUAAACUAGUACAAAGAUAACCCUUCCCUUCCUUAAACUGAUCAAAUCAACCUAAUGUAGGGCAUUUGCAAACAAUCACAUAUUUGCACAGUACUGUUCUUUCAUCAGCGUCAGGAAUAGAUUGUUUUCACAGAUUGUCACCUGAAAACACAUUUCCUAAGAUAGCUGUUGUCUGCAAGUGUCAGUUACAUGUAAACUAAAGCAAAUACACAUAUAGAUUAUACAAAGUGUUAUCUGCUGUAGAUAAAUGACAACAUGCAUUAAAAGGCUAUGUACUACUGUAUUUAUAAAAUGUUUGAAUGUUUGUAUU